CUUUGGCUCAACAGUUCCAGAGGGGAAAGAUUUACAUCCUAACAUUUUAGGUAUGCGGCAGCUGCAGUUUUCAAAAGGAGGAGCCUUGUGAGGAGGCAGCGGAAUAAACUUUGCUUCUAAAACUUUGAUUAUAAUCAACCAACGGCGGAGGCCAAAGCAGAACACUCAGAGAGGUGCCGAGAAUGAAGCAACCAAAUGAAUCACCUGCCAAGGUGCAGCGCUGUUUGUGAGGAUGUUUGCCUGCAAAAUUAAAUAUUGAUUUUCU